UACGUAGGGGGCAAGCGUUGUCCGGAAUUAUUGGGCGUAAAGAGCUCGUAGGCGGUUUGUCGCGUCUGCUGUGAAAACUCAGGGCUUAACCCUGAGCCUGCAGUGGGUACGGGCAGACUAGAGUGUGGUAGGGGAGACUGGAAUUCCUGGUGUAGCGGUGAAAUGCGCAGAUAUCAGGGAGGAACACCUAAGGGCGAAGG
rnacentral:rRNA from 1 species